AAUCGCCUCUGUAGAGGAACUCGAGAAGCGAUUCCACCUCCUCGUGACUUAACUCCGGCAGCGUAAUGGCUUCCAUUGGAGCCGCUUUGCAACCGUCCGAUUCGAUAGGGCUCUGUGAGCGGAAACGGAAGGGGACGCGGCGAAGCCGGAUUUGAGUUCAAUAUCGGUGUGAAUCCGGUGGCGGAAAGCAGCCGAAAACUCGCCGAGGAGGAGGCAACAUUAAUGGUAGCUUUAUUCGCUGGUUUAUCAGAUUGAAGCUUGUUUAUGAGAUUGAUCAGACACUUAGCUCCGUCGUAGCAUGACCCACAAAUGGUAUUCCGCGGCGGCCGCAAUAUCACCGGCAAGGAGCUGCAGAUUGAGCAGUCCAUAUUCCCUCUUUUCUCCUUCUUCUACAGAGAGAAUUUUCCAAAUCAGCAGCAACCAGAAGAGGGAUGAAUUUGAAACCCGAUGUCUUGGGUUUAAAGAAACAGGAAUAAGUCUCGGCUUAUCCACUUCAUUGUCCUCCCGGUACGACGGCGGGCCUGGGAGCUUGAGAUCGGACGACGGCGGAUUUGUUCUCGUAAUAGUGGUAGACGGCGGCGCCGGAUAGAACCGCCAACGUCAGUGCCUGAGCAUGCAUCCUAUAAAACAAAGAUUCCGAUUAGACGUUUUUUCUUUUGAAAUAAAUGAGAGAUUUGGAGGGGAUGUUAGCUAGCGUGGAUAAGUCGGAGGCUUGGCUUGAGGGGAGUUGUUGAUCGGUAUAGGCGAGGGAUGCUCCGAUCCCAGA